CCUUUCACUGGGGGACAACCGAGGGAAACUUCGGCUAAUACCGCAUGAUGUGCAUCAGCUCAAGUUGGUGUACCAAAGAUAGCUUCGGCUUUCGGUGAGAGAUGAGCCCGCGGCAGAUUAGCUUGUUGGUGGGGUAAUGGCCUACCAAGGCGACGAUCUGUAGCUGGUCUGAGAGGACGAUCAGCCACACUGGAACUGAGACACGGUCCAG
rnacentral:rRNA from 1 species